UACGUAGGGUGCAAGCGUUGUUCGGAAUUACUGGGCGUAAAGGGCUCGUAGGUGGCCAACUAAGUCAGACGUGAAAUCCCUCGGCUUAACCGGGGAACUGCGUCUGAUACUGGAUGGCUUGAGUGUGGGAGAGGGAUGCGGAAUUCCAGGUGUAGCGGUGAAAUGCGUAGAUAUCUGGAGGAACACCGGUGGCGAAGGCGGCAUCCUGGACCAUUACUGACACUGAAUAGCGAAAGCCAGGGGAGCAAACGGG
rnacentral:rRNA from 1 species